rnacentral:rRNA from 1 species
GAGUUUGAUCCUGGCUCAGAACGAACGCUGGCGGCAGGCCUAACACAUGCAAGUCGAGCGCACUCUUCGGAGUGAGCGGCGGACGGGUUAGUAACGCGUGGGAAUAUACCCGGUACUAAGGAAUAGCCUCUGGAAACGGAGAGUAAUACCUUAUACGCCCUUCGGGGGAAAGAUUUAUCGGUAUCGGAUUAGCCCGCGUUAGAUUAGUUAGUUGGUGGGGUAACGGCCUACCAAGACGACGAUCUAUAGCUGGUUUGAGAGGAUGAUCAGCAACACUGGGACUGAGACACGGCCCAGACUCCUACGGGAGGCAGCAGUGGGGAAUCUUAGACAAUGGGCGCAAGCCUGAUCUAGCCAUGCCGCGUGAGUGAUGAAGGCCUUAGGGUCGUAAAGCUCUUUCGCCAGGGAUGAUAAUGACAGUACCUGGUAAAGAAACCCCGGCUAACUCCGUGCCAGCAGCCGCGGUAAUACGGAGGGGGUUAGCGUUGUUCGGAAUUACUGGGCGUAAAGCGCGCGUAGGCGGAUUAGUCAGUUAGAGGUGAAAUCCCAGGGCUCAACCCUGGAACUGCCUUUAAUACUGCUAGUCUUGAGUUCGAGAGAGGUGAGUGGAAUUCCGAGUGUAGAGGUG